rnacentral:lncRNA from 1 species
AAUUUAAGAUUAAAUAUCAGAUAAUAAGAAUCAGAUCGAAUAGAUCUUAGAUCUGAAAUAAAGUAGGAUAAUUUUUUUUUAAAUAUUCUAUCUCAGAUUUCAUUAGAUCUGAAAGAUCCUAUAAGGAAAAAGAUAGUUUUUCCUUCAAGAUGGAGCUUGGACAGCUCAGAUCUGAUAAAAAAUCAACCUUUUUAAUCUUUAUCAAA